rnacentral:rRNA from 1 species
UACGUAGGGGGCAAGCGUUGUCCGGAAUCAUUGGGCGUAAAGAGCGUGUAGGCGGCCUUACAGGUCAGCUGUGAAAACUCGAGGCUCAACCUCGAGACGUCGGUUGAAACCGUAUGGCUAGAGUCCGGAAGAGGAGAGUGGAAUUCCCGGUGUAGCGGUGAAAUGCGCAGAUAUCGGGAAGAACACCCGUGGCGAAGGCGGCUCUCUGGGACGGUACUGACGCUGAGACGCGAAAGCGUGGGGAGCAAACAGG